rnacentral:rRNA from 1 species
AACGAACGCUGGCGGCAUGCCUAACACAUGCAAGUCGAACGAGACCUUCGGGUUUAGUGUCGCACGGGUGCGUAACUCGUGGGAACCUGCCCUUAGGUUCGGAAUAACUCCCCUAAAGGGGUGCUAAUACCGGAUAAUCUCUUCGGACCAAAGAUUUAUCGCCUUUGGAUGGGCCCGCGUUGGAUUAGCUAGUUGGUAGUGUAAAAGCCUACCAAGGCGACGAUCCAUAGCUGGUCUGAGAGGAUGAUCAGCCACACUGGGACUGAGACACGGCCCAGACUCGUACGGGAGGCAGCAGUGGGGAAUAUUGGACGAUGGGCGAAAGCCUGAUCCAGCAAUGCCGCGUGAGUGAUGAAGGCCUUAGGGUUGUAAAGCUCUUUUACCCGGGAUGAUAAUGACAGUACCGGGAGAAUAAGCUCCGGCUAACUCCGUG